GUCUGUCUGUUGAUGGUUCACUCUGAAGCCUGACCAGGAGGGGGUUUCGCCUCCAUUCUUUCCUCAGAGGCACAGGCCAUGUCCCUCCCUGCUCCAGCUCCCUCAGGGGGAAACCCGAAAGGAAGCCAGAGUAAGAAGUGGAGCGGCAGCAGCAGCAAGGCAAGGGAUGCAGGCAGAGAGCCAAGAAGACCGAAGGGAUCAUGGGAAAGGAGGCCAGAGGGAAACCAGAGAGGAGAAACCAGAUCUGAGAAGUGCAUAGAUGCGUCCCAAGAAGAGUGUUAUGAAAAGCCAAGCCUGGCAACUCCUAUGAGCAUGGGGUGGAAUCCUAGUCGCACGCAAGACAAAUGGGCCAGCAGCGACAUGAACAGUCUUCACGCAGACUCAUAAUGAGUAGAUCGUCUGGAAGAUGAAUUUAGACUCUGGAGUCAUGAGAAUUUGGCUCAUUGGGUAAGUUACUUAAAUCUCUUGUCUCCUCACAGGGUCGACGUAGCCAUUAAAUGGGAUAACACAUGGCAAACAGGUACCAUAUUACCUAACACAAAGUAGAAACUUAAGCAUCAUUUAGAAGGACACUUCAGAUCAGAGAAAGCGUUAUAACAUCAGCUGUCAUUUUGUGACCUUUCUAUUCAGGGGAAUUUUUUUUUUUUUAAGCUAUAGCAACAACUUAAUUCAAUGCAAAUAGGCUAAUGUUUCAUUUACGAAAAAGUGAUUACAAAGUUAUCCUUAAUGAAUCACCCUCCCACUAUUCACUGAUUAUCAUCAAUUUUACAUCAAGUUCUCCUCAACAGAGUGUUUCUUGUGUGAAUAACUUACUUUUCCAUCUUAUAAUGAAAGGUCUAGCUAUGCCAUCAAGAUGUUCGAAUAUUUUCAUUCAAUUAACUUAAAAUUAUGUAAUGUGAAAAUAAAUGAUGGCCAAGAGGCUGAUGGGCA
rnacentral:lncRNA from 1 species